rnacentral:siRNA from 1 species
AUGUUAUUGUAUCUUCGCAGAUA